UAUGAUCUUUUCUUUUUAUAAAUUUAUUUAUUUUAUUUAUUUAUUUUUGGCUGCACUGGGUCUUCAUUGCUGUGUGCGGGCUUUCUCUAGUUGCCCCAAGCGGGGGUUACUCUUCUCUUGCAGAGCACGGGCUCUAGGCGCUCGGGCUUCAGUAGUUGUGGCACACGGGCUCAGCAGUUGUGGCUCAUGGGCUCUAGAGUGCAGGCUCAGUAGUUGUGGCUCGCGGGCUUUGUUGCUCCAUGGCAUGUGGGAUCUUCCCGGACCAGGGCUCAAACCUGUGUCCCCUGCAUUGGCAGGUGGAUUCUUAACCACUGCGCCACCAGGGAAGCCCCCAGUACUAUGAUCUUCUGAGAUUCAGAAAAGUGAAUCUAGACAGGAAGAAAGCAGGCCCUUUAAAUUCAAGUCUUUUAGCUGUAACUCAGUUCAAGGAUGUGGACCCUGAUGUUCAAAGAGGUUAUAUCACCUACCCAAGUUACCUCAACUAAUUAGUCACAGACCCUGAAGCUGACUGGUUAAAUAACUAGUAGAACCAGAGAAAACUACCUCUCAAAUGUUACGAGGAGUCUGAACCUGCAUAGCUGGUGUUGCUUCCAAGGGCUUCCCAUGGGAGAUGCAAUGGCUUCAUUCUGUCACACUCUAGAGAGCUCACUGGUGACAGAAUGGGGAAACGGAUUUUAAAUUGACAUAAGAAAGAGAUAUCUAAUAUACUUGAGAAGUGGAGAGAUGGUCAUGCCCAGCCUAAAAAUACAGGCCGUUCGAGGAGACCCAAGCCACCUCUGGGCUCAGAAAACAUCUCAGGUCCCUUCCAGGCCCAAGGUUUCUGAGUCCCUGGAAAAGCGGGGAGGAAGAAAAGAGGCUUUGAAAGCAGACGUCAUGAUUCAGUGAGAAUGAUGGCUGCAUUUUUACUCUGCAGGGUGAAUAAAGAACAGAUAUUCCCUAAUUUUCUGAGAUCCAGGUAGGGCGAUGAAGGAGAAGGGAGUAAGAAUUAAUGCAAUGAGAGCUGGAGACACAAAAGAAUGAGGGGAACAAGCAAGUAGGGAGGAGAAGAAAAAAAAGGAACGCGUAAAAUUUCCUCAGAGGGAACCAUUUGAAAGGACACUGCAUCUCAAACCCGAUAAUACCUGACAAACUCAACUUCAGGUAUAUUCCAGAGAAAUAAAAAAAAAGGUAUCACCUAAUUGAAAAAAUUCAAAAACCUAUUUUUAGUCCACUUCUUCAUUCCUUCCAUACAGAAAUAUUUAACCACGUAUUGUGAUUGCUGUUACGGGCUGGCGGAAUUGUGUCCUCCAAAAAAGAUAUGUUGAAAUCCUAACUCCUAGUACCUCAGCGUGAGACCUCACUUGGAAAUAAGGUCUUUACAAGGGUAAUCAAGUUAAAAUGAGGUCAUUAGGGUGGGCCUAAUCCAAUAUGACCAGUGUCUUUAUAAAAAGGGAAAUGUGGGCAUAGAGACAGAGACACACAGUGAGAAUGCCACAUGAAAAUGAAGGCAGAGAAGACAGAACGCCAAGGACUGCUGGUAAGCCACGAGCAGCUAGGAGAGGGGUGUGAGACAGGUUCUCCUUCAAAGCCCUCACAGGAGCCAACCCUGCAGACACCUUGAUCUUGGACUUCUAGCCUCCAGAACUAUGAAACUAUAAAUUUCCAUUGUUCAAGCCACCCAGUUCCUGGUACUUUUGUUAUGGUCUCCCUAGCAGACUAACAGAACUGGCUCUUCUGAGUUUCACCUCUCCUGGACACACACUUUCCAGUAAAGGUCUGGAGUGCUCUGAAAUUGUGAAGCUCAAAAGCAAGUUAGAGCAGGAACUAAUCAUAGAGGUCAUUGAGUACAACUCUUGUUUCACAACAAGAAAAUCAAAAUCCAGGAAGGGUGAGUGACUUGCCCAUGUUUUCACAGUGGCAGAACCAUGACUAAAGCCCAGGCAUCCUGAAUUUUUUUUUUAAUAGAUUUUGUUUAUUUAUUUAUUUUUUGGCUGCGUUGGGUCUUCGUUGUUGUGCGCAGGCUUUCUCUAGUUGCGGCGAGCGGGGGCUACUCUUCGUUGCAGUGCGAGGGCUUCUCAUUGCCGUGGCUUCUCUUGUUGCAGAGCACAGGAUCUAGGCACGCAGGCUUCAGUAGUUGUGGCACGUGGGCUUCAGUAGUUGUGGCUCGCGGGCUCUAGAGCGCAGGCUCAGUAGUUGUGGUGCACAGACUUAGCUGCUCUACAACACGUAGAAUCUUCCUGGACCAGGACUCAAACCCGUGUCCCGUGCAUUGGCAGGCAGAUUCUUAACCACUGCGCCACCAGGGAUGCCCCAAUGUCAUCAUUUUGAUUUUAUAAAUAAGAAACAGGCUCAGAGAAGUUAGGUGUCUUGUCCAAGGUCACACAGCUAGGAAGUGGCAGAGUUAGGCUUUGAACCCAGCUGAUAUCCAGGUUGGCUCUUUCCACUACUUUGUAUUUAUACCGGGGUGUGCACGUCACUGCCUGCACGUGGGUUUUGACAUCUGCUAUUUUUUGGCUGUAAUUGAUUUCAUCAGUGUAAUUGCAUGACUUUUACUUUAUGACAUCUUUAUCCAACCCUCCAUCCCUUAUGGCCAUGUCUGGUUUUUAUAAAUUGUGGCAAAAUAUUCAUAACCUAAAACUUACCAUUUAACCAUUUUAAGUGCACAGUUCUCUGGCAUUAAGGGCAUUCUCAUUAUUGUACAACCAUUCACUGCUAUCCAUAUCCAGAACGUUUUCAUCACCCCUGAAAAAAUACAGGAUGUUUCCCGCGUUGCUGUGUCAUGCUUGCACACGGGCCACACUACUUGUCUCUGUAUUAUUCCAUGUGCUGCCCAAGUGAGCACAGUGGGCGUGCGACUCAGCCGCUGGUUUUCUAAUUCUUGGCUCCUCUCCAAUUUUUCUUUCUUCUUUUUCUUUCUGUGACCUGCUGCCUGCUCCUCAGUAAUGAAACGGACUGUCCUAUUCAUACAUGUGCCUGUGCAGAGUCCCGAGCCAGACGAAGGAGAAAGCAAUGUGAUUGUCUGUAAAAUGGCCUGGCUUGGACCCUGCCUCACCAAUCCCCAGGAGCGAACAAGGAACGAGGAAAAGAUUAGCAAACUGCCUAAUUCAAAUCUGAAUCUGUUAGUGACUCUGAUUUGCUCUACUUUGGGAUCACUGGGGUGAGACUCAGAGCACUGCCCAGUGCUAGGGCUGGAGGAAGAAAUGGGGUUCAUCAGGUCUGUGCCCGCCUUGAUUCACAGGAUCCUAGUUCCCCAACCAGGACCACUGCAGUGAAAGCACCAAGUGCUAACCACUGGACCACCAGGGAAUUCCAAAUAAUGGAAGCAUGUACGAGCUAUGAAGAUGUUAAAAAUGGCCUUGCCCUUUGGAAUAUAGAUGCUACAAGCAGAACAUAGAGAUGAAAGUCAAGAUAAUGCCAAGAUCUGGGGGCAAAGAAAGGAAACUGACCCACAGACCUACGUGUCACUCUAUGACUCAUGGUCCAGCUUGAAGUACUCACUGCCUCUCGGGGUUUCAUCCUCACUACCACCUCCCAUGUCCUCUCUCCAUUUUCUCCUUUCCCUUUCUAUUCUCACUCUCUCUGCUAGAGGCCUUCCUUGUCUGCAGGAAAGCAUGGCAAGGAGAAGAAUCUAUGGUUUAAGGGGAGGAAACACAUUUUGUGCUAGUCUCUCUCCCUUCCAUGAAAGGCUUUUUCAUGAUGAUACCAACAUUGAGAGUUUCCUAUGUUCAUUACCCUUUCAGGCUCUUAUGAUAAUUCCCCAAAUCUCUACAAAUAAAUGAGCUGAUUCACUUCUCCAAAAAUGCUUUGUCCCCACAAAUACUUAUUCAUGGGAAGAGGCUCUGAGGUUAGUCUGUUCCUCUCAGACUAUUUUGUUUAUUGAUUACUUUAUUGUGCUGAAUCAACAUUAGUAAGCAUUUGGGCCUCUGAUUUAUACUUUAUGCAACUUUGAAAGUCUAAUGAUUGGUACAGAGAACUCAAGGCUCUUGCGAUGUGGGUUCCCAUCACCAUGCUUACCUGAACCUGGACCAGCUGCCUCCCCUUCUCCCUCACCCCAUGUGGGGUGCCCAUGAGAGUGCAGGGAUCAAGGGGCACAGGGCCAAGAGGCUCUCAUCUGCCCAGGACACCCUCCAGGACCUGGUGGGGGCACCCUGAGGCUGGGCGAGCCAGGCCAGAGGAAGAGGAACAGGAUAGAGGCCUAGGCCUGGUCCUUGAGAAACUAAAAUCUUGUAGGCAGGAGCAUUCAACAAGAAAACCUACACCUGCUAUCAGUAAGUAGGUGAGGUCCUUUAAAAAAAAUGAGAGUCUGCAAGUGUGAAGGCAAUGAUUGGUGGAAAGUGGGGCAUCAAGAAGGAAACUAUACACACACACACACACACACCAUUCCAAUCGCACAACCCAAAUAAUCCCACAAAUAUUUAACUGCUGUAAAUAUUUCUUUAAUGUUGAAUCAUUAUGUUGUAUACCUGAAACUAAUAGAAUGUUGUAUGUCAAAUAUACUUCAAUAAAAAAAUAAAAUUUCUAAAAACUUC